UGCUGCACAGAGCUGCUGUAAAUUGCUAACCCUGUGAGAAGUGCAUGAAGGAAGAAGCACACAGGUAGGCGCAGCAAAAAAAAAGGGGGCACAGAUUUGUAUAGAGAAUAGAUAGAGUUGAGAAUUAUGCAGAUCUUUUAGGGGGAGGAUUUCACCUGUUGGCUCUUAUCAAAGCCUCUAGAAUACAUCUCAGGCCCCAGGGACUGAGCCAGGCUGUGGGUGCUGAAGAUUAGGAAACUAUAAGCUGGAGCUCCUUAGGGAGCUGCCAAUUUGACACACAUUUGCCUUCCUCUGAGGCACUUGGUGCUGAAGACAGGAGUGAAAGGAGUGUGCAUCAGCCACACAUCAUACAAAAAGAUAGAAAUGCCAAAAGAACUCCCUUUUGUUUCUAAUUAGCAAAACAGUGUGUACAAAUAUGAACAUGGGUAAAAUGGAAAUCACUGGAUAUGGUGUGUUCUGUUGAUAUUGAUAAUUGGUGCUGGAUCAAUCUCCUGGGAAAUACAACAAUUAACUAGUUAGAGAUGUUAUUUCUGUCAACUCAAACUGUAUCCUGUAAAUCUCAUGAACAAAUCAUAGCUAUUACUGUAAUGCUUACAUGCUUUAUUAGUUUUCAAAUAAGUGCUUUGAAGGAAAAAAAGAUGCUAUAAAGGUAGAAGUCAUAAAUUAUGGUGAAUUCUCCAUUAGCAGCAAUAUACAGCCAUAACAUAUCCUUGCAGAAGUGGUAUCCAGAUAACUUACUGAACUAUCCAGGCAAUUGCUGGAAAGCAUUUAAGGAGACUGUCAUCUUGAGUUGACAUGUGCAGCAUAUAACAUCUGCUGCAAAAAUGUUAGCUGAUUUUGAAGAGAUUCUGUUUCUAGGUAGUAGGCACAGCUCUGCACCACUGAUUUGUGAGAACAUCAGCUGUGAUAGGCCAACAGUCUCUUAUUUCACAGCCUGGCAAACUUCUUUCCCACUUUGCUCUUAUUAGGACAGUCUAGCAAACACUUUCUGUGUUUUUGUCAGGGAAUGGACCAGUUGUGUCCAACAGUGCUACAGAAGCAGUUUUUUCUAUCCAGCUUCUGGAACUGCAGUUGUACUCCCUGGUACAAACGGGUCUACAUUUCUUGCUAGAAUAUAUGUACAGUUUGUAGGAAGAACUGAGUUUUUCUAUUGCAGCUUAAAAAAAAAAAAAAAAAAAAAAAAAAAGGAAAUAGAA